GUGCUCGCCUUGGCAGCACAUAUGCUAAAACUGGAACGAUGCAGAGAUUAGCAUGGCCCCUGCUCAAGGAUGACACGCAGAUUCGUGAAGUGCUCCGUAUUUAA
ensembl:snRNA U6 U6 spliceosomal RNA